AUGAACGCUGGCGGCGUGCCUAAUACAUGCAAGUCGCGCGAACGGACGAGAAGCUUGCUUCUCUGAUGUUAGCGGCGGACGGGUGAGUAACACGUGGAUAACCUACCUAUAAGACUGGGAUAACUUCGGGAAACCGGAGCUAAUACCGGAUAAUAUUUUGAACCGCAUGGUUCAAAAGUGAAAGACUGUCUUGCUGUCACUUAUAGAUGGAUCCGCGCUGCAUUAGCUAGUUGGUAAGGUAACGGCUUACCAAGGCAACGAUGCAUAGCCGACCUGAGAGGGUGAUCGGCCACACUGGAACUGAGACACGGUCCAGACUCCUACGGGAGGCAGCAGUAGGGAAUCUUCCGCAAUGGGCGAAAGCCUGACGGAGCAACGCCGCGUGAGUGAUGAAGGUCUUCGGAUCGUAAAACUCUGUUAUUAGGGAAGAACAUAUGUGUAAGUAACUGUGCACAUCUUGACGGUACCUAAUCAGAAAGCCACGGCUAACUACGUG
rnacentral:rRNA from 1 species